rfam:Cricetulus griseus cell line CHO-K1, whole genome shotgun sequence.
UCAAAGGCCCUUUUCAGGGCCGCCCACGUUUGCAGUAAAAGGGCUG